UCUUGUGGUCACCACCCUGCCAGGGACGUGAGUUAGCAGAGGGCAUUUGCUUGCUCAGGAGACCGGAACGGGAGGAGCUGAUGUGCUGGGGGGACACUUAAAGGGGCUGAUGUCUUUUGGACCUGCCUGGGAGGCCAGUUCAGAGCGUGAAGAGUAGGUGUGGGGCUUGAUUUGCCCCUGGUGCCUCGCAAAAGAGAACCGAAAUUCAAGGCGUGGCUCCUGGAAGCAGGAUUUGGAGGAAAGCUUAGAGCUCACCUAGUCCUAAUCUCUACUUUUCCUCGGGCUCCCUAGCUUUCAUCUCUGAUAUUUCAUGACUUCUGAUGGACCCUUAAAGAGAGGUGGCAAGGCAAAGAAGGAAGCAGAGGCCGUGAACAGAAGGAACUGGGAAGCCCCUGGUACCCAGAUGGACACCUUGUAGGUGCCAUGGUCAGCUGUGACUGUCCCCUGACCCAGAGCCCUGAGUCAGCCCUGUCAUCGCCCAGCCUGGCCCUGCUGUGGAGCCUCCCUCCACGUGUGCCUGAAGAUGCGGGUCCGGCCAGUGACUGCCUCUGUCUUCUCUCAGCUUACUAAACCUGUCUGAUGCUAAUGGACUAGUCUUUGUACUGAGGCUCCAGGAUGCUGCUUCUUCCCUCCAAGUACUAGGAUUGCAUCUCCACGCUAACAUGCUGUGAGGCUCUGGGAACCACUCUGGGACCAAGUGGGGUCACCACUGCAGUGAGAGGAGAAUGUGGACUUCAAAAGAAACUGCCGUGGAAAUGGCUGUGGUGAGCCUCACUCAACCUGGAAUGCCUUCCUGCAGCUCUCUGGGGCCCCACUCCAGUAGUUUUCCGGCUGCCGUCACGCUGGCCAUCGCCUCCCACCUCCCAUGUGGAUUUGAAACAGCUCAACUGGAAUUCCGUCACCUCCACUAGCUUUGUUGGUAGUGAUGCUUCCUAAGGUCCACUUGACUUCUCAUUCCAGGAUGUCUGGCUCUAGCAGGAAGCCCACCCUACGUGGAGAGUGUUCUCUGGGUUACCAGCCCCCGUGGAUCCCAGCUUGGAGUCUACCCCAUCCUAGACUCCAGCCUCAGUGGGCUCCAGCCCCCAGCUGUUUAGGGGGAAUCCCAGACUCCCAGAGCUGUGAUGGAGUUACAGGAUGUCAGCCGUCAGCAGGGCCAGUGCCACUCGGUGAGAGUCCAUUCAGGAGGCAGCUCUUGCUCUGGAGAAGAAACUUCUGCCUUCAGACACCCCUUAUUCCAAUCAGACUGCCAGUCAGAUCACGACUGCUGGCAGCCCUGGCAACUGGCUUGGGGUUGGCAUUGGGCCCCAUCCAGGCCAUCUGAGAAUCAUUCUUUGGCCAGUGAACAAGCCAGUUUCCUGCCUUAGUAUUCGCCACUUUUAUGACACUGCACAGGCAAAAGCUCUAUUUCAUGUGCUGGCUCUCAGGGUCUUGGCUGCCCGCGACUGCACCGGCAGACGUCAUCACCUCUGUCUUAAAGAUGAAGAGACAGGCCUGGGAGGUGCUGGGGUUCUGAUUCAUGUGACCUUGGGCAGAAUCAAGCCAGGCAUCCGAUGCUGAGUGCUUGGCAUCCUUCCUACCUCAGACCACGUGGCUGUUGAAUUCUCCUCAGCAUCACCUCCAGGGGUUCCAUGGUUAUGGCAGAGAACAGGAGCUCACCUGCUUACUUUGCCAGAAAGGGAUGAGCAGACUGUCUGUUGGUACCCAAGGCAUCUUACUGAUGCUCUUUGCACUUUUCACCAAAAUCCCCCAAAUCAUACAAAACACUGAGCUGAGUGAACAAUACAUGUGCUGGUAUGCUUGGGGUGAAAUAAACACAUGGAUAUCUGUCACUUACCUUGAAGUGAGCAAAAAACAUGCUGGAGUAAUGGAUGGAGUUGACAGGAAACAAGUACAGCGAAUGUUCACAGUGACAUCUAGAAGGUGGGGUUCACUAAACGAUUCUUUCAACUUUUCUCUCCAUUAGAAAUGUUCAUAAUAUGGGAUGGGAAGGGAGGUGGGAGAGGGGAUCAGGAUGGGGAACACAUGUA